AGGACGAACGCUGGCGGCGUGCCUAACACAUGCAAGUCGAGCGCCCCGCAAGGGGAGCGGCAGACGGGAGAGUAACACGUGGGAACGUACCCUUUGGUUCGGAACAACACAGGGAAACUUGUGCUAAUACCGGAUAAGCCCUUACGGGGAAAGAUUUAUUGCCAAAGGAUCGGCCCGCGUCUGAUUAGCUUGUUGGUGAGGUAACGGCUCACCAAGGCUACGAUCAGUAGCUGGUCUGAGAGGAUGAUCAGCCUCACUGGGACUGAGACACGGCCCAGACUCCUACGGGAGGCAGCAGUGGGGAAUAUUGGACAAUGGGCGCAAGCCUGAUCCAGCCAUGCCGCGUGGAUGAUGAAGGCCCUAGGGUUGUAAAGUCCUUUCGACGGGGAAGAUAAUGACGGUACCCGUAGAAGAAGCCCCGGCUAACUUCGCGCCAGCAGCCGC
rnacentral:rRNA from 1 species